rnacentral:rRNA from 1 species
GAUGAACGCUGGCGGCGUGCCUAAUACAUGCAAGUCGAGCGAACGGACGAGAAGCUUGCUUCUCUGAUGUUAGCGGCGGACGGGUGAGUAACACGUGGAUAACCUACCUAUAAUACUGGGAUAACUUCGGGAAACCGGAGCUAAUACCGGAUCAUAUUUUGAACCGCAUGGUUCAAAAGUGAAAGACGGUCUUGCUGUCACUUAUAGAUGGAUCCGCGCUGCAUUAGCUAGUUGGUAAGGUAACGGCUUACCAAGGCAACGAUGCAUAGCCGACCUGAGAGGGUGAUCGGCCACACUGGAACUGAGACACGGUCCAGACUCCUACGGGAGGCAGCAGUAGGGAAUCUUCCGCAAUGGGCGAAAGCCUGACGGAGCAACGCCGCGUGAGUGAUGAAGGUCUUCGGAUCGUAAAACUCUGUUAUUAGGGAAGAACAUAUGUGUAAGUAACUGUGCACAUCUUGACGGUACCUAAUCAGAAAGCCACGGCUAACUACGUG